GAUGAAGAACGCAGCGAAAUGCGAUACUUGGUGUGAAUUGCAGAAUCCCGUGAACCAUCGAGUCUUUGAACGCAAGUUGCGCCCGAAGCCACUAGGCCGAGGGCACGCCUGCCUGGGCGUCACACGCCGUUGCCCCCCCAUCUACUCCUUCGGGAUUGCGGGGGGGCGGAUGAUGGCCUCCUGUGCGCCUAGCCGCGCGGUUGGCAUAAAUACCAAGUCCUCGGCGACGCACGCCACGACAAUCGGUGGUUGCGAAACCUCGGUUGCCCGUCGUGUGCGUUCGUCGCGCAUCGAGGGCUCGAAAAAAUGCUCGGCUCCGGCUGGGCUUUCAACGCGACCCCAGGUCAGGUGGGGUUACCCGCUGAAUUUAAGCAUAUCAAUAAGCGGAGGA
rnacentral:misc_RNA from 1 species